UGUUGCUCAUUUAAUCAAGCCGAGUAUUUAAGGAGUUCUCGAGCUUCGUGCUCCUGUUUGCCUUGUUCCCACUUCUGCUUCCAAGCCACAAAUUCUUCUCGACGUCUCAAGCGUUCAAUGUUCUCGGUUUUCUGAUUCCACCUAGUUGUCUUCGUUCACCUUUAGUUCACGUUUCUGCAGUCCAAUUAUAUUCUGUCCGGAACUUUACGGAAAUCCGACGACGCACACAUCCACACGGUCCGGCUUCAGCGCAACAUCACGAGAUAAUAACCUUUGCCGCCAAAGGCAAUGGCUAAACGUGGCAGAGGAGGGCCUUCGCUCCAGCGUGCACACCUGCCGUCAAUGUUCAUAUCAAUUAGCCACGUAUUAAUGGACUGUCAAGCUGCCAAGCCUUUGUCGGAUUAUUAUUACCUUGCUCAUGACUUUGUCUCCAAGUGUUGAAUUUUCUAGUUGAUCUUUCUUGUUCACGCCAUGUAGUUUUGUACUCUCAUCCUUAGUCAGUCGUCUAAUUUUGAUCAGCUUUACACAUCCAGCAGAGUGACGAUCAAUUGUACUUUGUCAAACGUGUGAAAGCAGAGGCCACCUAAGAGUCAUCUUCAGGAUCAACAAAGGUGGAAUAGUUAUUUAUGUAUUUUUUUUUGACAGAGAAAAUAUUUGCCAAACAAGAAUGUGUAUGUUUUUU